CAGGUCAUGGCACCUGACCAACAGCAAAGUGCAGAGCAGAGCGGGCGCUCUACAACGGCUGUUCUCCUUGCACACCUGUAGUCUGGAGUUACCAGCUGGCUCUCAUACCAGCCCCGGUCCGUGUGUCUCUGCUACUGUGCAAGGAAGUGUCCCAAAGUAUGAUUCGGUUACUUUUGUUAGUCAUUAAUGUAGAGUUUCUCAACCUUGGUGUCACUUGAUAUGCAGGCGGGGUCAUGGGAGAAGACUGUGCUUGGGUCAUGAGGAUUUUGGGAACAAAAAUGGCCAUGAAAAGGUUGAGAAACGCUGCAUUUGUGACUCAUGAGUUGUUGGGAUUCACCUGCCAGUACUUCCCACCUGUUCUACCCCCUGUCCCAUGUGACGGGAAAAUUAACUUUGUACUGCUUGUGUACACAUUUCUCACAAUAAUGCAGUGCCUUCAGUGUAUGUUGGAAUUAGAAGAAUGCAAAACUAAGAGGGGAAAGGGGUCAAACCGGACCGUAAUCGCUCAUUGUUGACUGUUCACAACCGCACAUUUCCUUCUUUAGAAUUUCUCUGGAUUCUGCUAUUUUCUGAGCUAUGAUCCAGCAUUGCUCAUUUUACAAUCUUCGCUACAGUCUGCUGUGGCUUUCUUUUCCCACCGUAUCUGCUAGACCGCCAACAACAAACGUUGGUCAUUUUGCUACAAACACGUAAAAGCAGAGUCGCAUCUGGUAGGAAUCACCCUGAAGUCGACACGAAUCCUCUGCAUACAUUCCCGUUUUGUGGUCUUGUUUGUACGUACCGUUGAGAGACGAGAUGUUGAGUGACAUUUAUCAGAGAUAUAUUCUAUAUUUUAUUUGUAUUUAAAGGUAGUUGUUAUGAAAAGACAAGCUAACGAGUGCUGUGACGUACUGUUUUUCAGAAGUACUUACUUUCGACUAGUCCGGGGAUAUUCUCACGUCUAAUUAUUGUGUUGUGUGGCAACGAUGAUUACUUUACAAAAUGUUAAUUAUUAUUAGCUAUGUAGAAAUAUGCUCAAAGCCAAUGGCCAUAUUGCUGUAUGAUGGUUUUUGUUUUGUUGUGUGUGUGUGUUUUUGCCAUGUUCGUACUGGCUUGUCAUAGUGGAUUCUUGGAGGGAUAUUAUUUUUCUAUGAUGAUUUGUAUGUUGUUCGUGUGGACAAAUUAAGGUCACUUCUGUACUGGCUGGGCGGGGCGGGUCCACGGGAUGUUUAAGAAAAAUGUGGGAAGAAAGAUUGAGACGAGGAGGAGACAAGAAGGCUGAGGAGUGGUCGAAUGAUGGAGAAAGAAAGUAGGCAAAGAAGGUGGAAAGAGGUGG